CUACGCACUCCUACGGGGCAGCAGUGGGGAAUAUUUGCACAAUGGGCGCAAGCCUGAUGCAGCCAUGCCGCGUGUAUGAAGAAGGCCUUCGGGUUGUAAAGUACUUUCAGCAGUGAGGAAGGUGGGUAUGUUAAUAGCAUACUCAUUUGACGUUAGCUGCAGAAGAAGCACCGGCUAACUCCGUGCCAGCAGCCGCGGUAAUACGGAGGGUGCGAGCGUUAAUCGGAAUUACUGGGCGUAAAGCGCAUGCAGGUGGUUUGUUAAGUCAGAUGUGAAAGCCCCGGGGCUCAACCUCGGAAUUGCAUUUGAAACUGGCAAACUAGAGUACUGUAGAGGGGGUAGAAUUUCAGGUGUAGCGGUGAAAUGCGUAGAGAUCUGAAGGAAUACCGGUGGCGAAGGCGGCCCCCUGGACAGAUACUGACACUCAGAUGCGAAAGCGUGGGGAGCAAACAGGAUUAGAUACCCUGGUAG
rnacentral:rRNA from 1 species